UACGAAGGGGGCUAGCGUUGCUCGGAAUGACUGGGCGUAAAGGGCGCGUAGGCGGAUGGUACAGUCAGAUGUGAAAUUCCUGGGCUCAACCUGGGGGCUGCAUUUGAUACGUGCUGUCUUGAGUUCGGAAGAGGGUCGUGGAAUUCCCAGUGUAGAGGUGAAAUUCGUAGAUAUUGGGAAGAACACCGGUGGCGAAGGCGGCGACCUGGUCCGAUACUGACGCUGAGGCACGAAAGCGUGGGGAGCAAACAGG
rnacentral:rRNA from 1 species